UACCUGCAGCUCGAGUGGUAACCGCUAUUAUUGGGCCUAAAGCGUCCGUAGCCGGUUUGGUAAAUAUCUGGGUAAAUCGUGAGGCUUAACUUCACGAAUUUCGGAUAGACUGCCAGACUUGGGAUCGGGGGAGGUCAGAGGUACUCCAGGGGUAGCGGUGAAAUGUUGUAAUCCUUGGAGGACCACCGGUAGCGAAGGCGUCUGACUAGAACGAGUCCGACGGUGAGGGACGAAGCCCUGGGGCGCAAACCGGAUUAGAUACCCGGGUAGUCCAGGGUGUAAACGAUGUGGGCUUUGUAUUGGAGGUCCCACGUGGGCGUCCAGUGCAGAAGAGAAGUUGUUAAGCGAGCUGCCUGGGAAUUACGGUCGCAAGACUGAAACUUAAAGGAAUUGGCGGGGAGCACAGCAACAGGUGGAGCGUGCGGUUU
rnacentral:rRNA from 1 species